rnacentral:rRNA from 1 species
AUACGUAGGGCGCAAGCGUUGUCCGGAAUUAUUGGGCGUAAAGAGCUCGUAGGCGGUUUGUCGCGUCUGGUGUGAAAACUCAAGGCUCAACCUUGAGCUUGCAUCGGGUACGGGCAGACUAGAGUGCGGUAGGGGUGACUGGAAUUCCUGGUGUAGCGGUGGAAUGCGCAGAUAUCAGGAGGAACACCGAUGGCGAAGGCAGGUCACUGGGCCGCAACUGACGCUGAGGAGCGAAAGCAUGGGGAGCGAACAGGAUUAGAUACCCUGGUAGUCCAUGCCGUAAACGUUGGGCACUAGGUGUGGGGCUCAUUCCACGAGUUCCGUGCCGCAGCAAACGCAUUAAGUGCCCCGCCUGGGGAGUACGGCCGCAAGGCUAAA